CCUACGGGGGGCUGCAGUGGGGAAUAUUGGACAAUUGGCGAAAGCCUGAUCCAGCCAUGCCGCGUGUGUGAAGAAGGCCUUCGGGUUGUAAAGCACUUUCAGUGGGGAAGAAAGCCUUGGGGCUAAUACCCUCGAGGAAGGACAUCACCCACAGAAGAAGCACCGGCUAACUCCGUGCCAGCAGCCGCGGUAAUACGGAGGGUGCGAGCGUUAAUCGGAAUUACUGGGCGUAAAGCGCGCGUAGGCGGUCUGAUAAGCCGGUUGUGAAAGCCCCGGGCUCAACCUGGGAACGGCAUCCGGAACGGUCAGGCUAGAGUGCAGGAGAGGAAGGUAGAAUUCCCGGUGUAGCGGUGAAAUGCGUAGAGAUCGGGAGGAAUACCAGUGGCGAAGGCGGUCUUCUGGACUGACACUGACGCUGAGGUGCGAAAGCGUGGGUAGCAAACAGGAUUAGAUACCCUAGUAGUC
rnacentral:rRNA from 1 species